rnacentral:rRNA from 1 species
CACGUAGGGUGCGAGCGUUGUCCGGAAUUAUUGGGCGUAAAGAGCUCGUAGGCGGUGUGUCGCGUCGGCCGUGAAAACCUGCAGCUUAACUGUGGGCUUGCGGUCGAUACGGGCAUCACUGGAGUUCGGCAGGGGAGACUGGAAUUCCUGGUGUAGCGGUGAAAUGCGCAGAUAUCCGGAGGAACACCGGUGGCGAAGGCGGGUCUCUGGGCCGAUACUGACGCUGAGGAGCGAAAGCGUGGGGAGCGAACAGG